rnacentral:rRNA from 1 species
UGCUAUACAUGCAGUCGAGCGGACAGAUGGGAGCUUGCUCCCUGAUGUUAGCGGCGGACGGGUGAGUAACACGUGGGUAACCUGCCUGUAAGACUGGGAUAACUCCGGGAAACCGGGGCUAAUACCGGAUGGUUGUUUGAACCGCAUGGUUCAGACAUAAAAGGUGGCUUCGGCUACCACUUACAGAUGGACCCGCGGCGCAUUAGCUAGUUGGUGAGGUAACGGCUCACCAAGGCGACGAUGCGUAGCCGACCUGAGAGGGUGAUCGGCCACACUGGGACUGAGACACGGCCCAGACUCCUACGGGAGGCAGCAGUAGGGAAUCUUCCGCAAUGGACGAAAGUCUGACGGAGCAACGCCGCGUGAGUGAUGAAGGUUUUCGGAUCGUAAAGCUCUGUUGUUAGGGAAGAACAAGUGCCGUUCAAAUAGGGCGGCACCUUGACGGUACCUAACCAGAAAGCCACGGCUAACUACGUGCCAGCAGCCGCGGUAAUACGUAGGUGGCAAGCGUUGUCCGGAAUUAUUGGGCGUAAAGGGCUCGCAGGCGGUUUCUUAAGUCUGAUGUGAAAGCCCCCGGCUCAACCGGGGAGGGUCAUUGGAAACUGGGGAACUUGAGUGCAGAAGAGGAGAGUGGAAUUCCACGUGUAGCGGUGAAAUGCGUAGAGAUGUGGAGGAACACCAGUGGCGAAGGCGACUCUCUGGUCUGUAACUGACGCUGAGGAGCGAAAGCGUGGGGAGCGAACAGGAUUAGAUACCCUGGUAGUCCACGCCGUAAACGAUGAGUGCUAAGUGUUAGGGGGUUUCCGCCCCUUAGUGCUGCAGCUAACGCAUUAAGCACUCCGCCUGGGGAGUACGGUCGCAAGACUGAAACUCAAAGGAAUUGACGGGGGCCCGCACAAGCGGUGGAGCAUGUGGUUUAAUUCGAAGCAACGCGAGAACCUUACCAGUCUUGACAUCCUCUGACAUCCUAGAGAUAGGACGUCCCCUUCGGGGGCAGAGUGACAGUGGUGCAUGGUUGUCGUCAGCUCGUGUCGUGAGAUGUUGGGUAAGUCCCGCACGAGCGCACCCUUGAUCUUAGUUGCCAGCAUUCAGUUGGCACUCUAAGGUGACUGCCGGUGACGA